AAUAUCGAAAAACCGGGGCAGGAAGGGUUGUCGCUGAUUUUCGUCGUGCACGCCCAAGUGCUCUCAACCAUCCAUCUCACCCUAUGUGCACCACCGCGUGGGUUCCCUUUUGGCUCGUCCCGGGGGGGCUCGCGUUUUCACACAAACUCGAUACAGUGUAGAAUGUCUCUUUGCGAUAACACGCAAUUAAUACAACUUUCAACAACGGAUCUCUUGGCUCUCGCAUCGAUGAAGACGCAGCGAAAUGCGAUACGUAAUGUGAAUUGCAGAAUUCGGUGAAUCAUCGAAUCUUUGAACGCACCUUGCGCCCCUUGCAUUCGGAGGGGCCACCCGUUUGAGUGUGGGGAAUUCUAAAAACCUUUCUUUUAUGAAGGUUUUGAACUUGAGGCUUUUUGCUGGCUUCACCUCGAAGCGAGUCCCCUAAUGAAUUAGUGGGGUCUGCUUUGCGAUCCUUGACGUGAAAGAUGUUACUACGUCUCGGUUCGGCGAUGGUGCCCGCUUCUAAUCGUCUCAUUGACAAUGAUGGGUUCCGGUCACCACCGUUUCAUCGGCGGAGGUUGACCCACCAAAAAAACCUUGACUCAAAUCGGGUGAGAUACCCAAU
rnacentral:misc_RNA from 1 species